rnacentral:rRNA from 1 species
AACGAACGCUGGCGGCAUGCCUAACACAUGCAAGUCGAACGAGACCUUCGGGUCUAGUGGCGCACGGGUGCGUAACGCGUGGGAACCUGCCCUUAGGUUCGGAAUAACUCCCCGAAAGGGGUGCUAAUACCGGAUAAUGUCUUCGGACCAAAGAUUUAUCGCCUUUGGAUGGGCCCGCGUUGGAUUAGCUAGUUGGUAGGGUAAAAGCCUACCAAGGCGACGAGCCAUAGCUGGUCUGAGAGGAGGAUCAGCCACACUGGGACUGAGACACGGCCCAGACUCCUACGGGAGGCAGCAGUGGGGAAUAUUGGACAAUGGGCGAAAGCCUGAUCCAGCAAUGCCGCGUGAGUGAUGAAGGCCUUAGGGUUGUAAAGCUCUUUUACCCGGGAUGAUAAUGACAGUACCGGGAGAAUAAGCUCCGGCUAACUCCGUG